AAAACUGAACUGUUUAUUUGACCAUCAGAGUAGGUGUAGUAUCUGUUCUUAUCAGUUUAAUAUCAGAUGAAAUUACAUAUGAAAUGGAUUUUUAGAACAGGGAGCCAGAACAGGAGUUUGCUCCUUCUGCUCCACGCAUCGACCUGGUAUUGCAGUACCUCCAUUCUAAAAUUUCCCCUU
ensembl:snRNA U2 U2 spliceosomal RNA